GUGGCUUUGUAGCACAAGAGACCAGUUGCAAUUUGGUUAUCAGUGGCUACUAUGGUGUCCAUAAAAGGCGAAAUGGCUAUUAGAUACUUGACAUGGCCUAGACUCCUUUGGGAGGCAACAGUGGGAAAUUUUUCGCAAUGGGCGAAAGCCUGAUGAAGCAAUGCCGC
rnacentral:rRNA from 1 species